rnacentral:rRNA from 1 species
ACGGGAGGCAGCAGUGGGGAAUAUUGGGCAAUGGGCGAAAGCCUGACCCAGCAACGCCGCGUGAGGGAAGAAGGGUUUCGGCUCGUAAACCUCUGUCCUCAGGGACGAAGGAAGUGACGGUACCUGAGGAGGAAGCCCCGGCUAACUACGUGCCAGCAGCCGCGGUAAUACGUAGGGGGCGAGCGUUGUCCGGAAUGACUGGGCGUAAAGGGCGUGUAGGCGGCCGAUUAAGUCUGGAGUGAAAGUCCUGCAUUCAAUGUGGGAAUUGCUUUGGAGACUGGUUGGCUUGAGUGCGGAAGAGGUAAGUGGAAUUCCCAGUGUAGCGGUGAAAUGCGUAGAGAUUGGGAGGAACACCAGUGGCGAAGGCGACUUACUGGGCCGUACCUGACGCUGAGGCGCGAAAGCGUGGGGAGCGAACAGGAUUAGAUACCCUGGUA